UCGCCUACGGGAGGCAGCAGUGAGGAAUAUUGGUCAAUGGGCGGGAGCCUGAACCAGCCAAGUCGCGUGAGGGAAGACGGUCCUAUGGAUUGUAAACCUCUUUUGUCGGGGAGCAAAGAGAUCACGUGUGGUCAAAAGCGAGAGUACCCGAAGAAAAAGCAUCGGCUAACUCCGUGCCAGCAGCCGCGGUAAUACGGAGGAUGCGAGCGUUAUCCGGAUUUAUUGGGUUUAAAGGGUGCGUAGGCGGGACGGUCAGUCAGCGGUAAAAAUGCGGGUCUCAACUCCGCCGAGCCG
rnacentral:rRNA from 1 species